UCUAGGACCAAGUGUAUGGAGGCAGCGGCCAUGGAGCGUCGGCUGUGGAUCCCACCCUGCAGAGGCUGCCCCGAGGCCCGGAGCUGGCUUGGAAAGGCCAAAAGCCUCCAGGACAUCAUCUGGAAAAUGAGAGUGAGCAGGAUCGAUUGGCAGCACUGGAGGCAGCCACAGAGGCCCGUGCAUCGGCAGGCAGGAGGGCUGGAGAAGACAGAGCCCUGUAAUGUUUGCUCCUUCCCUGACACCCUGGGAGUGGUGACAGCUAUCAUCGGAUCCCGAGGACCUGGCUUGUCAGUUGUCAGGGAGGGGAGAGUGGAAGACGGCUGUAGUGGCCCAUGAUAGCCGCAAGGGCGCUCCACCCAGGUGGGCCGGAGAAGGCAGGUGUCUGUGGGUGAGCUGGGAAACCAGUGUGUCCCACCCAAGAGAGCUCACCCCAGGCUCUGGGGAGCCAGGGAGGGACAUCCCAGCCAUUCUGGAAACCCGUGUCCCCCUUCCCCCUCCAAGGUUUGUUGCUGAUAUUACUGUUAGGAAGAGCACGUGCAAGCAAGAUGGGGUGCUUUGGAAAGAGGACAUAGAAGAAGAAAAAAAUCCAAGUUCACAGCACCCUGACAUGGUGCUGCUUCUGAGCAAAGGGCUUCCCUGGGGAUUUCAUGCUACCCUGUGUCAUGUCCAUGGAAACAAGGUGUGGAAAUGGCCUGUUCCCGCCUUGCCCCGAGGUUGGGCUGCUGUCUCUCACCACGAAGAUGCUCAGGUGCUCCCAGGGCCCAGGGAUCUGUGGUCAAAGGGUCCGUCUAUCUAUCCAAGCAGGAAGACUGUCAUAAGCUGAGCGGCAUCCCCGGAACUCCUAGGGUGAAGUUCUAACCCCUAGUAUUUUAGAAUGAGACUAUGUGUGGGGAUAGGGCUUCCUAAAAUGUAAUUAAGUUACAAUAAGGCCAGAAGGCGGGCCCUCAUCCAACCUGCUGGGGUCAUUAUUAUCGGAGGUUGGGACACAGACAUGCACAAAGGGACGACUUCAUGAGGACACAGGGAGCACACGGCCAUCUACACGCCAAGAAGAGAGGCCUCAGGAGGGAGCAGCCCUGCCGACGCCUUGCUGUGGGGCUCUGCACUCCAGGACAGGAGGAAUUCGUCUCUGUUGCUUCAACCGCCUGGUCUGUGGCCCUGUGCGAGGCAGCCCAGGCUGGGGAAUGCAGAGAGCCAGGCUCACGAGGGGCAAACGGCCUGCUCAGCCUGGGGGCCCUGGGUUCAGUGUCUUCCCUCACCACGCAGGCUCUGCGGCUCAGAGCACCUUGCUGGGCACAGGACACUCAUGUGUGGCUGGAGAAAAGCUGAGGGCCUGUGGGCCGGGAUGGCAUCUCAGCACACCGGAGGUCACUGUCCAUUCAUGACUCAUUCGACCCCUGAAUGGGCAGAAUGUGCUCAUGUGUGUACAUGCAUGUGUACACAUGUUCCUGCAUCCGUGUGCAUCGUUGGGGUGACCAAGCUGAAUGAGGCCCAGCCCCUCCCACCCUCAGGAGUCCCCCAGAGCGGGGUGCAGAGGCGGCGAGACCUGGCGGCUGCACUAUUCUGCCGUGAUGAAAACGGAUGAGGCUCAAUGGCACUGGCCUGGAACGAUGGCCACCGCAGAUUAUUACAUGAUGGGGUCUUAGGGAACAGAGGCAGCGGAAUGCCAUUUUGGCUAAAAAAG
rnacentral:lncRNA from 10 species